GGGCUCAGUGGUAGGGAGGUGUGUAGGGGUGGAGCUCAGUGGUAGGGAGAUGUGUAGGGGUGGAGCUCAGUGGUAGGGAGGUGUGUAGGGGUGGAGCUCAGUGGUAGGGAGGUGUGUAGGAGUGGAGCUCAGUGGUAGGGAGAUGCAUAGCGUACACAAGAUCCCAGGUUUCUCCAGAGACUGAGAGUCAGUCCUCAAACUGCCCCCCACGAACCUUGGUGACCGGAAGCAGUGGCUUCCACUUAUGGGCAGGAAGAUCCCACUUUUGCCUGAUCAUGUCUUCCUCUUCCUGCGUGGUCAGGAUGCACCCAUCCACUUUGCAGCUGUCGGGAGAAUUGCCUGUUGGAACAAACAGAGACCUGGGAACGGUUUCCUUCAGCCUAGCUCAGCUUCUAGGAUACAGAGGGAAGAGCGGGAAGCCAGGAGCAUCGUGAGGACUUGACAAGUGGCGUGUGACAGUGCCUGGAGUUUGCACCAGGUAUCCAUGAUAGUGGACAAAUGGGACAUCCGUGGGGUCCACUCCCUGAUCCCGCUGCCUUCACUGUGCCUCCUGACAGGGCAGAGGGGAGUUGUACGUGUGAUUAAGGAUGCUGGUUCUAAGAAUUAAGGCUCUGAGUCAUACCUAAGAAGAAAGAAGGACCUUAUUGUCCUGAUCGGCUCAGAGGGACAAGGUCCAUGUGCAAAAGCCCUACAGAGAUCUACGAAGGCCAGAAUAGCUCCUGUUAGUGGCCAGCUAAGAGCCAGGACUUCAGUCCCUCCACCAAAAUCCUCCUAGUGAAAAUGGCUAACCCAGCCUUCUGACAAGAGGAGCAGAGCAAUGGCUGAACCUACCUGGAUGUGCUUAAGUUCUGACAUGGAUUGUCGAUGGGUCCUGGCCUGCCUGGAUGGCUACAUGAAUAUAACACUGAAAACAGACGGGAGAACACGUGAAUGGGCAGUGGAAGAUUCAGUACGGGGAUAUGUCUAUUCUAGUAAACAUGCUACAUAACACUAAAAGGAAAAAGAAGAAAAAAACAGCAUUUAAAAAAAAAAAAGACAUCAGGGACUUGUGACAAACACCCCGAAUAACACUCACUCAGAUUUCCCAACCAAAAAGAACUGUUACCAAAGAAAACACCUGCAGACAUGCAGAGCUCCAAGGUGCUGCGAGAGAUACCAAACCUUGUCAGCUCCCUCAGCCAAAAAGUCCUAUUUUCCGUGUUUGUCUUAGGAGCACUGGAGCCCUUCUGUGCCUGGACCCCAGAAAAAGCACCAGCUCUUCUCUUUCAGGGAGCACAGUCCCUCCCCCCUGUUGAGGGCUGGCUGAUCCAAGGAUUUUCCUGAGGCCCUGAUAUUUUGACAAGGAACACAGCCCAUAUAGCCUGGGGACAGGGCCUUGGGGGAGCUGUUGCUCUAGACCCUGAAGACCAGCUCUUCCCACUGUACGGGGCUAUGAUAUCAGUCCCAAGGCUGCUGUGUGCUCUGUCUGUGAUGUUGGAGAGAUAACCCACAUUUCACUUGUGCAACAUUGUUUGAUUAUUGUCCUGUUGAGUUGGUCCCACUGUAUGACAGUUUCUCCAGACUCUGCCUCAUUUCUCCCUGGAAAAUAGUGUAUAAGAUGCUGGCUAUCUUAACAAGCUUGCUUGGCAUUAUUAGACAAAGCUUGUGCAAGGCCUCCUGAUCCCACACUCAUCUGUCUCCCUACCUUCUGAUCUCCUGGUCCUCUCCCUUGGAACCUGCCAAUGAAGAAUGAUCUGCUGGUCCAGGUCACCCACCUUUCCCCAAGGAGAUGGUUAAGUUAUAACAGUUGCCAGAGGAGGCAGAGUGUAUUCCUCAGUGUAGCCACUGGUAAGUUGCUCUUGCUCAAGUACAUAAUACACAUACUCACACACAUACAUUCACACACACAAACACACACACACACACACACACCAACACAAAAACACACAUUCACACACACACAUACCUGUGUGCACACAUACUCACAUAAACACACACAUUCUCUCACACAGACACAUGUACAUGCUCAUUCACAUGCAUGCACACACACACACACACACACACACACACACACACACACACACACACCAAAGAAUGAAUAAAGGAAUCAGCUAAGGUCCAAGAGAGAAAGAAAAGGAUCCAGACACAUCUACAGUUCCUCCAGCCCUUCCAAAUACCCACCCUCCUCUCUUCCGCCUCUCUCAGGAAAGUCCCAAAUGGCAGGCCAUGGUGAGUCUGCUUCCAACUCUGUCACUGACCCUCCCUGGCAUCUGUUUAAACACAAUGCUGCCACUGAGACCAGGCAGCAGCCACUCCUAUGCCCAGCGGUACACUGAAGUUGGCCCUGGAAAUCCCUCACCCUCACCCUCAGCCUUCAGGAGUAAGACACAGUCCAGAGACUAAGGCAGUCCUUCUGCUGAGUGAAGUGUCACAGGCAGAGCAUGCCACAGGUGGGCCUGAGAAGCUGAGGAGGGACUGUCCCCCACAAGUAGAGGAUGCUGUACUGGCCUUAGAAUCAUCCCAUUAAAAAAAGGAAUCCAGGGGAAUUACUAUUAAGUCCCAGGGAAGCUUAGGCCAGAAGUAUAAACUUUGGAAUGAACCGAAGAAGCACACUGUUCAUUUGAGACAAAGCUUGGAAGACCUGAGGCAGAGCUCAGGAAGCCACAGCUGACAGAGGAGACUUCUGGCCAUGGACCAGCAGGACCGUGUAGGUGUGGUGGUAUGCAUCUGUGACCCCAACAUUUGGCAGGCUGAAGCAAGAGAUUCAUGAGUUCAAGACCAGUCUGCACUCCAUGGUGAGCAUUUGUCUCUGCUCUGAGUUCAAGUGUGUGUUAGUGAGUUUCACAACCCCACAGAAGAGCCUUCAUAGAGGAAAGGUGUAUUUUGUCUUGAGAUUUCAGGAGAUUUUAGUCCUUUAUGGUGGAGAAAGGAUGUUUGGUGAUGGCCCAUGUCAUCGAGAGCAUGAAGAAGCUCCCAGCAGCAAACAGAAGCACCAGGUUACAGCCCUCAAAUCUCUUCGACACAGUCCUGCAUCCACCACCUAAGCCUACAUCCCAAGGUUA